rnacentral:tRNA from 1 species
GGGCCCAUAGCUCAUCUGGUAGAGCGCUGCCCCUGCAAGGCAGAGGUAUCGGGUUCGAUCCCCGAUGGGUCCA